UGGUGUGUGUGAUUGUAUGUAAUGUGAUGGUGUUUCAUGGAAACAUUAUUGAUGUGGGCUUUAUGUCUGUUUUGGGCCAGCACGGAUGAGCAGCACACCUGAAGGCGUUUACCUCUAAUCAGCAGAGCAGAGGGCUGUGGCCUGUGGGCUGUGAGCUGUGAGCUGUGAGCAGCAGCUCCACAAUGACUCUGUCUGCUGUGCUCAUUUGUUGACGUUUAGAAACUCUCAGUUUGUCUUACAAACCACUAACUUUGUCUUAUGAAUCCGGACUCCAGAACUUUGUCACCGCCUGCACCUUUUUUGGGACCAUCACAGUGUAGCUUCCUGACCUCACCUACCUACCUGGAAAAGAUGUCGGCACUCCCUAUCUACCUCUGCUGUGUUUCUGCUUUUGGUCAGCAUUGCCAGUUGCAUCUUGUUGAGAUGAAGGAGCAAAAGUUCACGGCUACCUGAGAGAUGCUGUUCACAUACAAACCAGGCAGGCGCUGGGAGCAGAGACGACUGGUCAUCCUGGAUCCUGUCCUCGUCAGCUGGCUGCACCGACCGGAGGAAGAGGAUCUAUGUUGCCGCACCACGCACGCACACUCUCUCCGUCCUUGGUAACAACAAUAACAAAGAAGAACAGAGGGAGCAUGAGGCCAAACUAUCCUGCGGGAAUAAAAGACAGCUUUAUUGAUGCUAACAUCUAAACAACCACCGUAUGAGCCAAGGUGAGCGUUGUUUUUCAUUUUGUAAGAUCUUUUUUAUAUUCAAAAAUGUGUUUCUUUUGGAAUUCAGUCAUGUGCUUCCUGAAUGACAGACAAUUAACAGCGUGCCGGUUUGACCUUGGUGAAAGGGAAAAAAAACUCCUGAGUGAGUGUAAUGAAGUUACCUCAGUGAUAACGAAUCAGCAGUAAGUGCUGCUGUGUGAAAUUCCACAGGCAGCAUGGGUGGUCUGCUGGUCCUCAGCAAUCUGUCACGCUGCUAUUUUUACCCGCUGAUAAAAACUAAUAAUUAUUCCUAGGAUUAAAAGAGAACGUUUUACACCAAAUGUGUUGUGUGAGCCGGUGCUGAUGGCCGUGACAGCCAGAAAGUAAAGUUUGUGUUAGAUGGUACUUACUUACCAAUGUAUAAUAAAACUGAAAUGAUGAAACAUCACAUAUAAAGGUCAAACUUAAGCAGUUAUUUGAUACUCGCAGCUUCUUCGUCACCGUUUUCAUUCCUGGAUGCAACAAUCACAAGCCAUUGAAAACAAGUGACCUUCCGUUUUGAUUAAUCUUUUUCCUUCAACUUCCCUGCAUUAAAAUGCUUCCACAAUGGCUGGUUUUAAGUGCGAGUGAAUUUCAAUGGCGUCUACAAAUGAAUGCCAUCACAGGUGCAAGGUUAAGAAUUUCUUAUAAAUAAAUGAAUCUGAAACUGCCUUGUGGAAUAAAACACGAGAUUACCGGGAUGUCUUUGACAAAAGGGAUGGAAGAAGUUGGCUUCUGCCCCUGUAAUGGGACACGCCCCCUACUGUGGGAACCUCUGCUUUAAGCAGACCACCAUGUUGGGUCACAAUACUAAACAAACUCUAUACUCUUAGUGGGUAAAUGGUAACCACAAAUUUGCCUCAAAGGGAAUCUGUUGUUGUGAUUCUAAACCACAAUGUGUACGUAACCUUGCCAGCAGGUGUCACUAAAUCCUGUACAGUGUACAG